GGCCAGUUAGCUCAGUUGGUUAGAGUGUGGUGCUGAUAACACCAAGGUCUGGGGUUCGAUCCACGUAGUGGCCA